GUGUUGUUAGUACCACAUAGUAGGACAGGUCUACAUUGCAGGAGAAAACACACCAACCUCCUUGAGAGGAUAACGAAGGACAGAUUUUUGGCCUGUCAGUGUAUUGAUGGUACACAUGGUGUGUUUGCCAUGGAAAAAUCUUUUUGUGGUCCUGCAACACCCAUACAUGUCAUCAAGAUUAUUUGGGGGCCAGCACAGAAGAUCAUUUGUGAGGUCGACCAGUGUCUUUUGAAGGCUGACUUUGCUCAAAGGAGCGGGAUGUUGCCUUUCGAGUGCCACCACAUUCAGUCAUUAUUGUAUUGCCCACGCACUGACGGUCAAACCGUGACACUACCAGGUGAGGCCUUGGAAAGAAUGGUGGAAAACAAGUGGUUUGGUGAGGAGCGUUCAUAAUUUUCCAGACCCAUACAGCUAUCAGUAAAGUGAUAGAAAUUAUAGAGACAACGGAAAAGGUGUCCUUUCCAAACAAGGAAAGAGUUCUGCAGGCAUACCUCCACUUUGAGGCCCUUACCGACCAUGAGUACGCGUACAGUUGUGUGUCAUGUGGAAACAACCCAGCAGUUGUUGUUAUGGACCUCCACAAAAAAGGCGUUUUCAAUAUGCCAGGUGAGUUAAGCUAUUAUUUCACAUAUUUUAGCUUCAUUGUUUGUAUAGGACCUCAUCUGUCUCUGAAUUGUGUAAGAUCAUAUUGCCCAUGCCCUUGAAUAACGCUGCAUCAAAUGCUGUGUUCGGAGUGUUUUUUUAGGGAUUGAGCUAUGAAUAACAAACUAUGGUUUUAACAGUGAGCGACAUCCCAAACCCACCUGAAGGCUAUGAUGGUAAUGUUGACAUGGACCAUUUCUGGAACACUGUGGUCACAGAAAUGCUCAGUCGGGGAUUAAUUCCAUAUGGACGGGAGAACCCUUUCGUUGUGCCCCCGAGCUAUCAUCACUGGGCCCCCUGGAUUGGCCCACACACCCGGAGGUCAAAUUCUGUGUUGAACACAGAAUUUGAAAAAUUGCAAAGCCCCAAAGCAGAUGGAGAUGCUAACUUUAAUGAUGACGAAAAAAUGAAUGAGGAGCGGCUCACAGAUGAGCUUGUGAACUUGAAGGUACAGGAGGUCAGGGCACUGUGCAAACAGUGUGGUGUUGAUGAUAAGGGGUCCAAGAUAGACAUGGUUAUGAGACUGUCUGACAAAAUGUCUAAUAGAGUCACCUACAACAAGGUGUUUGAGAAAGUUUUGGGUGCUUCUGGUGGCUGGGCAGUUAUCACUUGCCCAUGUGGGGUUGUGUUUUCAGUAAAAUUCAACCUUAGAGCAGAGAGUCCACGUGACUUUGUGGAUCUCUUGCUGUCCUGGAAACACCUCCCCAAUGUGGCUGUGUAUGAUUAUGCCAGGGGUCUGGCACUGCAUGCCAACCGCAGGCAGCCAGGAAUAUUUGCCCCUUUUCAGGGAAGGUUACUGGAUCCCACCCCAGAGAACGUGAAGCAGGCCUCAGAGGGAAAGGUCCAUGUCAACUUGCCUUGGCUGAAAUUUAAAAAAAAGCCAGCUGACAAAGAUGGUCACCCUCUCACUGGAUCCUCACAGCAUUUUGCUUUGAACGAUGUGUUCCACCAGGGGAACAGCAAAGACCAGUGGGAGGUUCUAAGAAAGCUGGAGCUUGUGCCUGAACUUGCUGGUCUUAUUAACAGCCAGUGUGCGGAGCAGCUGUUUUCAGGGAUGAGAAAAAAAAACUACUUUUUAAAUCAGACUACCCCAUCAACACACAUUUUUCUACAAAGAAACAUUCUCCACCAUUACAACAUGGCAAGGAACCAAAAAAUCAAAAAUCAGUACAGCAAGAUUGUUCCUCCAGAUGUUUCAUUGCAGUUUGACAGCUAUGGAAGGGUUGUCUUAGCUCACUCCCCAUCAGCUGCGAUGUCAAUUGGGUCAUAUGGGAACGAACAAGAAGACUCUCAAGAGUAUGAGUCAGAAGUUGAAAUGCAGUGUGACAGCCAUGGAAUGGUAGUCUUAGCUCACUCCCAAUCAACCGUGAUGUUAACUGGGACAUCAGGGAAAGAACAAGAGGAGUCUCAAGAGUUAAAUGAUGACAGUGAGCAGAGACCUCAUGGAGACUUCCCUAGUCUCUACAAGUUUUCAGCCCACAGAGCAUGCUGGGGACAGAAACUCCAAGACAGCCAAGAACAACUGCUGUCUCAUGUCUUGGAUGAGGCCAAAAGUCACACUCAGCACCUUGCAAUGGUGAAUAACAUCAUCCUGACCCGCUUUGACUUUUGGACUCUGGGUUUGCAGCGGGACAUGGAGGGAACGAUCCUGAACUCUUGUCUCAAAAUGAUUGAGAAGAGAGUAGAGAACCUGUUUGCUGCAGACAGCUAUGUCAUUUCCACUUGGUUCCCACCAUCAUUGAGGAAUGCCAUGGAUCACCUUCCGGAUAAUGCAGCCAGUCUACAGUGGAUUAUUCUCCCAGUGUCCGUACCUGGACAUUGGACACUCUGUCCUCUCUUCUGGCCCCUGGAAAGAGCUUGGUGUGAAUGAUCUCCAGAGAGGAAAACAUGCUGCAAAUUAGGAGAUGGUGGUCUCGCUCUCCUGCAGAACUUCCCCAUGCCGUCUGAGGAAGACCGAUUGCAGGACAGAAAACAGCGACGAGUGCAAGGAGGGCUACAGCCAAAGACAGGAAAACCCUGCAGGGGGUUACGGCAGGAAAAAUCAUACGCUGGGAAAUUGACGGACCUGGAAACCGGGAACAGGGUUGCUUGCUAUGGGCCAGAUACUUGAUAACACCUUGAUACUUGCCUUUGUCAAACAUUUAUGGAAGCUUUUUUUUUUUCUCCUUUACAGAUCAACAUUUUUUGCCUGGGGUGAAAAUAAAAAUCAAUGAUGCAAAGUC